rnacentral:rRNA from 1 species
GACGAACGCUGGCGGCGUGCUUAACACAUGCAAGUCGAACGAUGAAGCUGGAGCUUGCUCCGGUGGAUUAGUGGCGAACGGGUGAGUAACACGUGAGCAAUCUGCCCUUGACUCUGGGAUAACUGCGGGAAACUGUAGCUAAUACCGGAUAUGAGGCUUGGAGGCAUCUCCAGGUCUGGAAAGAAUUUCGGUCAAGGAUGAGCUCGCGGCCUAUCAGCUAGUUGGUGAGGUAAUGGCUCACCAAGGCGACGACGGGUAGCCGGCCUGAGAGGGUGACCGGCCACACUGGGACUGAGACACGGCCCAGACUCCUACGGGAGGCAGCAGUGGGGAAUAUUGCACAAUGGGCGAAAGCCUGAUGCAGCAACGCCGCGUGAGGGAUGAAGGCCUC